rnacentral:rRNA from 1 species
AGCAGCCGCGGUAAUUCCAGCUCCAAUAGCGUAUAUUAAAGUUGUUGCAGUUAAAAAGCUCGUAGUUGAAUUUCGGGAUUGACGUAAUGGUCGUGCCUUAAGGGGUAUGAACUGUUACUGUUGAUUUCUCACCUUCUGGAGAAACUUGAUGUCCUUAAUUGGGUGUCUUGCGGAUCCAGGACCUUUACCUUGAAAAAAAUUAGAGUGUUUAAAGCAGGCAUUUUUGCUCGAAUACAUUAGCAUGGAAUAAUAGAAUAGGACGGCAUGGUUCUAUUUUGUUGGUUUCUAGGAUCACCGUAAUGAUUAAUAGGGAUAGUUGGGGGCAUUAGUAUUCAAUUGUCGGAGGUGAAAUUCUUGGAUUUAUUGAAGACUAACUACUGCGAAAGCAUUUGCCAAGGAUGUUUUCAUUAAUCAAGAACGAAAGUUAGGGGAUCGAAGACGAUCAGAUAC